AUGAACGCUAGCGGCAGGCUUAAUACAUGCAAGGUCGUGGGGCAGCAUGAGUAGCAAUACUUGAUGGACGACCGGCAAACGGGUGAGGAACACGUACACAACCUUCCUCAAGCGGGGAAUAGCCCAGAGAAAUUUGGAUUAAUACCCCAUAAUAUAUUUGAUAAGGCAUCUUAUUAAUAUUAAAGCUUCGGCACUUGAUGAUGGGUGUGCGGCUGAUUAGAUAGUUGGCGGGUAACGGCCCACCAAGUCUACGAUCAGUAGCUGAUGUGAGAGCAUGAUCAGCCACACGGGCACUGAGACACGGGCCCGACUCCUACGGGAGGCAGCAGUAAGGAAUAUUGGACAAUGGACGAAAGUCUGAUCCAGCCAUGCCGCGUGAAGGAUUAAGGUCCUCUGGAUUGUAAACUUCUUUUAUAUGGGACGAAAAAAGGGCAUUCUUGUUCACUUGACGGUACCAUAUGAAUAAGCACCGGCUAACUCCGUG
rnacentral:rRNA from 1 species